rnacentral:rRNA from 1 species
UGGGGAAUAUUGCACAAUGGGCGCAAGCCUGAUGCAGCCAUGCCGCGUGUGUGAAGAAGGCCUUCGGGUUGUAAAGCACUUUCAGCGGGGAGGAAGGCGAUAAGGUUAAUAACCUUGUCGAUUGACGUUACCCGCAGAAGAAGCACCGGCUAACUCCGUGCCAGCAGCCGCGGUAAUACGGAGGGUGCAAGCGUUAAUCGGAAUUACUGGGCGUAAAGCGCACGCAGGUGGUCUGUCAAGUCGGAUGUGAAAUCCCCGGGCUUAACCUGGGAACUGCAUUCGAAACUGGCAGGCUAGAGUCUUGUAGAGGGGGGUAGAAUUCCAGGUGUAGCGGUGAAAUGCGUAGAGAUCUGGAGGAAUACCGGUGGCGAAGGCGGCCCCCUGGACAAAGACUGACGCUCAGGUGCGAAAGCGUGGGGAGCAAACAGG